AGAAUCAACGCUGGCGGCGUGCCUAACACAUGCAAGUCGAACGCGGUUACCCCGCAAGGGGUAACUGAGUGGCAAACGGGUGAGUAACACGUGGGUGACCUGCCUCUGAGUGGGGGAUAACGUUCGAAAGGAACGCUAAUACCGCAUGACAUCCUGCCUUUGGACAGGCGGAGAUCAAAGCCGGGGAUCGCAAGACCUGGCGCUUGGAGAGGGGCCCGCGUCCGAUUAGGCUAGUUGGUGAGGUAACGGCUCACCAAGGCGACGAU
rnacentral:rRNA from 1 species